CAGGUGAUACCAGGCCACAGCAGCGUA
rnacentral:sRNA from 1 species